AUCGCUUCUCGGCUAUUCUAUAGCUAAGAUCAAAGUGUAGUAUCUGUUCUUAUCAGCUUAAUAUCUGAUACAGUCCCCAUAGGGGACUCAGAAUAUUAAACUGAUUUUUUUACCUAGGCGGAUUUUCGGAGCUUGCUCCGGCUCUGCCACGGGUCAACCCGAUUUUGCAGUAAUUUCGGGACUGGCCCAUUAAAU
rfam:Solenopsis invicta Si_gnG.contig13102, whole genome shotgun sequence.